rnacentral:tRNA from 1 species
GGAGGAGUGGCCGAGUGGUUGAAGGCACCGGUCUUGAAAACCGGCGUGCGAAAGCACCGGGGGUUCGAAUCCUCUCUCCUCCG